GACGAACGCUGGCGGCGCGCCUAACACAUGCAAGUCGAACGAGCGAGAGAGAGCUUGCUUUCUCGAGCGAGUGGCGAACGGGUGAGUAACGCGUGAGGAACCUGCCUCAAAGAGGGGGACAACAGUUGGAAACGACUGCUAAUACCGUAUAAGCCCACGGUGCCGCAUGGCACAGAGGGAAAAGGAGCAAUCCGCUUUGAGAUGGCCUCGCGUCCGAUUAGCUAGUUGGUGAGGUAAUGGCCCACCAAGGCGACGAUCGGUAGCCGGACUGAGAGGUUGAACGGCCACAUUGGGACUGAGACACGGCCCAGACUCCUACGGGAGGCAGCAGUGGGGAAUAUUGCACAAUGGGGGAAACCCUGAUGCAGCGACGCCGCGUGGAGGAAGAAGGUCUUCGGAUUGUAAACUCCUGUUGUUGGGGAAGAUAAUGACGGUACCCAACAAGGAAGUGACGGCUAACUACGUG
rnacentral:rRNA from 1 species